AUUGAACGCUGGCGGCAUGCCUUACACAUGCAAGUCGAACGGUAGCGGGCCUUCGGGUGCCGACGAGUGGCGAACGGGUGAGUAAUGCAUCGGAACGUACCUUUCAGUGGGGGAUAACGUAGCGAAAGUUACGCUAAUACCGCAUAUUCUGUGAGCAGGAAAGCAGGGGAUCGCAAGACCUUGCGCUGAUUGAGCGGCCGAUGUCAGAUUAGCUAGUUGGUGAGGUAAAGGCUCACCAAGGCGACGAUCUGUAGCGGGUCUGAGAGGAUGAUCCGCCACACUGGAACUGAGACACGGUCCAGACUCCUACGGGAGGCAGCAGUGGGGAAUUUUGGACAAUGGGGGCAACCCUGAUCCAGCCAUGCCGCGUGAGUGAAGGAGGCCUUCGGGUUGUAAAGCUCUUUCGGCCGGGAAGAAAUCGUAUGGGCUAAUACCCUGUGCGGAUGACGGUACCGGCAUAAGAAGCACCGGCUAACUACGUGCCAGCCGCCACAGUAACAC
rnacentral:rRNA from 1 species